AGUGAACGCUGGCGGUAGGCCUAACACAUGCAAGUCGAACGGCAGCACAGUAAGAGCUUGCUCUUACGGGUGGCGAGUGGCGGACGAGUGAGGAAUACAUCGGAAUCUACUUUUUCGUGGGGGAUAACGUAGGGAAACUUACGCUAAUACCGCAUACGACCUACGGGUGAAAGCAGGGGAUCUUCGGACCUUGCGCGAUUGAAUGAGCCGAUGUCGGAUUAGCUAGUUGGCGGGGUAAAGGCCCACCAAGGCGACGAUCCGUAGCUGGUCUGAGAGGAUGAUCAGCCACACUGGAACUGAGACACGGUCCAGACUCCUACGGGAGGCAGCAGUGGGGAAUAUUAGACAAUGGGCGCAAGCCUGAUCCGGCCAUACCGCGUGGGUGAAGAAGGCCUUCGGGUUGUAAAGCCCUUUUGUUGGGAAAGAAAAGCAGCAGGUUAAUACCCCGCUGUUCUGACGGUACCCAAAGAAUAAGCACCGGCUAACUUCGUG
rnacentral:rRNA from 1 species